CCAUUUCAAGUCCCUGAAUCUUUUCCAUUUAUGUCCUUCCUUUCUCAGUAGCCACAACAUCUUCUGGAGCAAGUGGAAUGACUGGGGCUGGACUCACCUCAGAUACAUCUGGAGUGCCCUCUGCUACAACAAUUGCCCCUGGGAGUUCCAACUCAGAAGCCACAACUUCUGUAGGAGAAAAUGGAAAAACAAGAGCUCAAAUAAUCACAGGUACUACUGAGGGCAUCUCUGGCAAAGUUCAGGAACCUGGAAGUGCCUACACAGAGGCCACAACUAUCCCAGGAGGCAGCGGGAAAACCCGAGCAGGACCACCUGGA
rnacentral:lncRNA from 1 species